UUAAUUUUUUUUUUCAAACUUAAAAUAAGAUAUUUCCUUUCUGAUUUCCUUGUGUAUCCUCUCUCUCUCCACAUUCCUUCUCUUUUUGGAACUUGAAAUCAAUUAAAAUCUUUUCUUUCUUUUUUCUCUUGAUAAGAAAUUCAAUCAAAGUCACAUCCCCUAAAGACCUGGUUUCUCUCUCUAAUUGUCCAAGCAGAAGUCUCUUUGUGAUGGAGAGAACUCAUGUCGCUCAAUUGUGUUCUAUGCUUGAUCCGCCGCAAGGCUGCAACAAAGCCACCUAUCUCUCUUUUGCCAAUGCCCAAGGAUGCUACGGACGAGGUAGAUAAGGCUCUCUAUUGGACUCAUGAAUAGAUGCCGCUACAUGCAUUCUCAAAGCCCUAGCAGUUGAUUUUAAGGCCACAAGCCCCCAUCGAAAUCUAUCGAAUCCCUGGUAGCCUCUUUAUCUUUCUUUACCCAUAUUGGUUAUGUGCUCCUUCAAUAAUGUUAAUGAAAUCCCAGCUUGCAAUGACCCAAAACUUUUAAGAGAGACUAUUAGAGGAGAGUGGGGUCUUAAUGGGUACAUUGUAUCUGAUUGCUAUUCAAUGGAUGUAAUAACUCAUAGAAAAAAAUGGCUUGAUAAUUCAAAUGAAGAUGUUAUUGCAAAAUCACUAAAUGCAGGUACUAUUGGGAAUGUGUCUUAUCAAUCAAAUUGCAAAAUAUUA